rnacentral:tRNA from 1 species
AAAUUUUUAAUUUAAAAAAAAUAUUUCAUUUACAUUGAAAAAUUAAUUAAUUAUAAUUAAAAUUUA